rnacentral:rRNA from 1 species
GACGAACGCUGGCGGCGUGCUUAACACAUGCAAGUCGAACGGAAAGGCCCCUUUGGGGGUACUCGAGUGGCGAACGGGUGAGUAACACGUGAGUAACCUGCCCUUGACUUCGGGAUAACUUCAGGAAACUGGGGCUAAUACCGGAUAGGAAUCCUUGCUGCAUGGUGGGGGUUGGAAAGCUUCGGCGGUUUUGGAUGGACUAGCGGCUUAUCAGCUUGUUGGUGGGGUAGUGGCUUACCAAGGCUUUGACGGGUAGCCGGCCUGAGAGGGCGACCGGCCACAUUGGGACUGAGAUACGGCCCAGACUCCUACGGGAGGCAGCAGUGGGGAAUAUUGCACAAUGGGCGGCAGCCUGAUGCAGCAACGCCGCGUGCGGGAUGACGGCCUUCGGGUUGUAAACCGCUUUCAGCAGGGGCGAAGCUUGUGGUGACGGUACCUGCAGAAGAAGCACCGGCUAACUACGUG